rnacentral:rRNA from 1 species
GGCUUAGUGGUGGGGUGACUGCGUACCUUUUGUAUAAUGGGUCAGCGACUUAUAUUCUGUAGCAAGGUUAACCGAAUAGGGGAGCCGGAGGGAAACCGAGUCUUAACCGGGCGUUAAGUUGCAGGGUAUAGACCCGAAACCCGGUGAUCUAGCCAUGGGCAGGUUGAAGGUUGGGUAACACUAACUGGAGGACCGAACCGACUAAUGUUGAAAAAUUAGCGGAUGACCUGUGGCUGGGGGUGAAAGGCCAAUCAAACCGGGAGAUAGCUGGUUCUCCCCGAAAGCUAUUUAGGUAGCGCCUCGUGAAUUCAUCUCCGGGGGUAGAGCACUGUUUCGGCUAGGGGGCCAUCCCGGCUUACCAACCCGAUGCAAACUGCGAAUACCGGAGAAUGUUAUCACGGGAGACACACGGCGGGUGCUAACGUCCGUCGUGAAGAGGGAAACAACCCAGACCGCCAGCUAAGGUCCCAAAGUCAUGGUUAAGUGGGAAACGAUGUGGGAAGGCCCAGACAGCCAGGAUGUUGGCUUAGAAGCAGCCAUCAUUUAAAGAAAGCGUAAUAGCUCACUGGUCGAGUCGGCCUGCGCGGAAGAUGUAACGGGGCUAAACCAUGCACCGAAGCUGCGGCAGCGAACGUAUCACUUAAAGCGAUUCAGCGGGUUACGAUUGACGGAGCGAAGCGACGUCAAAGCGUAUACAAAGUCGAGUCGGUUUAAGGAUACGUUCGUUGG